rnacentral:snRNA from 1 species
ACACUUGCCUGGCAGGGGAGACGCCGCGCCCACGAGGGCGGCUUUCCCAGGGCGAGGCUGAUCCAUCGCUCUCCAGGCCUGCCGACCGACUCCUGCGGUCUCCCCAAGGGUAACCCGACUGCCUGGUUUGUGGUAGUGGGGGACUGCGUUCCCGCUUCACCCUG